UGGCGCCCAAACGUGGGGCCUGGAAGAUUUUGGAGUAAGGAGUAGCCAUUGUUAGAUCGAACCUCUCAACAAAAAGGCUGUGCAGUCCCGGAGAAUUUAGAGAAUAAGGUCGCCAUGGAUCUGCCUGCCCCAAGGAACAAAGACCUGGGUGGUAAGAGGCUUCGAUACCAAGAGAGAGAAGAAAUUAGUGUAUAUGAUAGAUUUAUUGAGGAUCUCAAAGACUCAUUAAGGACAUGUAGAGUAAAGGUUAAAAAAAAAGAACUUAUAAAAUUUUUAAGUUUUUUAGAAGAUGUCUGCCCAU
rfam:Sarcophilus harrisii ctg7180002215667, whole genome shotgun sequence.